rnacentral:rRNA from 1 species
UAAUACGUAGGGAGCGAGCGUUGUCCGGAAUUACUGGGCGUAAAGGGCGCGUAGGCGGCGAUGCAAGUCGCAUGUGAAAUCCCCAGGCUUAACUUGGGGGGUGCAUACGAAACUGCAUGGCUUGAGUAUGGCAGAGGAAAGUGGAAUUCCUAGUGUAGCGGUGAAAUGCGUAGAUAUUAGGAGGAACACCAGUGGCGAAGGCGACUUUCUGGGCCACAACUGACGCUGAGGCGCGAAAGCGUGGGGAGCAAACAGG